rnacentral:rRNA from 1 species
CCUACUUUCUUCCUCCUUGCGGCAUCUUGGUCAAUGGACGAGAGUCUGAACCAGCCAAGUAGCGUGAAGGAUGACUGCCCUAUGGGUUGUAAACUUCUUUUAUAAAGGAAUAAAACGAGGCACGUGUGCCUGUUUGCAUGUACUUUAUGAAUAAGGAUCGGCUAACUCCGUGCCAGCAGCCGCGGUAAUACGGAGGAUCCGAGCGUUAUCCGGAUUUAUUGGGUUUAAAGGGAGCGUAGAUGGGUUGUUAAGUCAGUUGUGAAAGUUUGCGGCUCAACCGUAAAAUUGCAAUUGAUACUGGCAGUCUUGAGUACAGUUGAGGUAAGCGGAAUUCGUGGUGUAGCGGUGAAAUGCUUAGAUAUCACGAAGAACCCCGAUUGCGAAGGCAGCUUACUAAACUGUGACUGACAUUGAUGCUCGAAAGUGUGGGUAUCAAACAGGAUUAGAUACCCUUGUAGUC